ACUUCAAAUAAAUGUAGAAUAAAUAAAAAACAUGAAAUUAAAAAAAAAAAGUAAGUUAACUACGGGCUAAUUUCAUUAAACUCGAUUUUUCCUGCUAAAUAUACUGAUAAUCGGUUCGGUACAUGGUACUUUUUUCCUCAUAAAUUAAGAUAAAAAGUGUAAAAUAGUGAAACACUGAGCUGGUGUAUACAGUGGACCAAACUUGGACGAUCCACCAUUUGUUUUCACCAUUUUAAGGAUAUGCUGAGAUGCACUAAUCCACAAGCUAUAUACUUAUUGUAUUGCUUACUAUAUAGUAAUAUAUUGCACAUAUUAAAAUGGCUUUAGGAUGUUGAUUAUGUAUUUUUUCCAUCUUGCUCCAUCUAUGGGCCACAUCCUGUGGGGACUGACCUGACCACUGCAAGGUGAUACAAUGUGGAGCUAAUAAUUAAUAUUACUAUAUGCACUAAUAUAUUUUUGCAGUAAAAGCAUGAACUCUGAAGCUACAUGACGUUUGGAGGUGUGUAGUGAUGAACUCUGAAGCUACAUGAAGUUUGGAGGUGUGUAGUGAUGAACUCUGAAGCUACAUGAAGUUUGGAGGUGUGUAGUGAUGAACUCUGAAGCUACAUGAAGUUUGGAGGUGUGUAGUGAUGAACUCUGAAGCUACAUGAAGUUUGGAGGUGUGUAGUGAUGAACUCUGAAGCUACAUGAAGUUUGGAGGUGUGUAGUGAUGAACUCUGAAGCUACAUGAAGUUUAGAGGUGUGUAGUGAUGAACUGAAGCUACAUGAAGUUUGGAGGUGUGUAGUGAUGAACUCUGAAGCUACAUGAAGUUAGGAGGUGUGUAGUGAUGAACUCUGAAGCUACAUGAAGUUUGGAGGUGUGUAGUGAUGAACUCUGAAGCUACAUGAAGUUAGGAGGUGUGUAGUGAUGAACUCUGAAGCUACAUGAAGUUUGGAGGUGUGUAGUGAUGAACUCUGAAGCUACAUGAAGUUUGGAGGUGUGUAGUGAUGAACUCUGAAGCUACAUGAAGUUAGGAGGUGUGUAGUGAUGAACUCUGAAAUUACAUGAAGUUUGGAGGUGAGUAGUGAUGAACUCUGAAGCUACAUGAAGUUUGGAGGUGUGUAGUGAGUGAUG